GUAUAAAAUGCUCUUUUUACAGUGUUUGUUGCCAUACUCCUCCGAAACGACUUAACCGAUUUUUAUGAAAUUUUGCAAGUGUACUCGACCGGACCGGGAGUAGGUCGUUAUCUAUAUUUCAUACCCGUGCGUCUUAAGGGGGCCUGCCACCCUUAUAUUUAUUUCUAUUUUUUCAGACAAACUCUUUUUUUUUUAAUUGCAUAUUAUGUGUAACGUAAAGAUACAUACAACCCUAAAUUUUCACUUUUCUAUCACUAACCGUUAUUUUUUAAUGGCCAUUUAAAUAUUUUACAUCUAUAUAAACAAAAGAAAGUCGUGACAGUUACCAACACAUAACUCGAAAACGACUGAAUAGAUUUUUAUGAAAUUUUCCACGUGUAUUUGACCGGACCGAGAAUAGGUUGUUAUGUAUUUUUCAUAUCCGUACGUCGUAACGGGGGCUGCCCCCCUAAAAUAUUUUUUUAUUUUUUUGAUCAAACUGUUUUUUCUUAAUUUUAUGUGAUGUGGAAGGCAAAGGUAAAUACAACCCUAAAUUUUCACUUUUCUAUCUUCGACCGUUAUUUUUUAAUAGCCAUCUAAAGUUUUGCAUCUUAUAUAUAAAAAUCUAUUGCUGUGCGUUAGUCUCGCUAAAACUCGAGAAUGUGUGGACCGAUUUGGCUAAUUUUGGUAUUGAAUUAUUUGUGGAAGUUCAGGGAAGGUUUAUACGGUUUUAUAUUGUCAUUUUAGUAGCCACCAAAAUUUUUACAGCUAUAUGUAUAAAAUGCUCUUUUUACAGUGUUUGUUGCCAUACUCCUCCGAAACGACUUGACCGAUUUUUAUGAAAGUUUGCAAGUGUACUCGACCGGACCGGGAGUAGGUCGUUAUCUAUAUUUCAUACCCGUGCGUCUUAAGGGGGCUUGCCACCCUUAUAUUUAUUUCUAUUUUUUCAGACAAACUCUUUUUUUUUUAAUUGCAUAUGAUGUGGAACGUAAAGAUACAUACAACCCUAAAUUUUCACUUUUCUAUCACU